rnacentral:rRNA from 1 species
AUUGAACGCUGGCGGCAUGCCUUACACAUGCAAGUCGAACGGCAGCACGGGAGCAAUCCUGGUGGCGAGUGGCGAACGGGUGAGUAAUACAUCGGAACGUGCCCAAUCGUGGGGGAUAACGCAGCGAAAGCUGUGCUAAUACCGCAUACGAUCUACGGAUGAAAGCAGGGGACCGCAAGGCCUUGCGCGAAUGGAGCGGCCGAUGGCAGAUUAGGUAGUUGGUGGGGUAAAGGCUCACCAAGCCAACGAUCUGUAGCUGGUCUGAGAGGACGACCAGCCACACUGGGGCUGAGACACGGCCCAGACUCCUACGGGAGGCAGCAGUGGGGAAUUUUGGAUAAUGGGCGCAAGCCCGAUCCAGCCAUGCCGCGUGCAGGAUGAAGGCCUUCGGGUUGUAAACUGCUUUUGUACGGAACGAAACGGCUCUUUCUAAUAAAGAGGGCUAAUGACGGUACCGUAAGAAUAAGCACCGGCUAACUACGUGCCAGCAGCCGCGGUAAUACGUAGGGUGCAAGCGUUAAUCGGAAUUACUGGGCGUAAAGCGUGCGCAGGCGGUGAUGUAAGACAGUUGUGAAAUCCCCGGGCUCAACCUGGGAACUGCAUCUGUGACUGCAUCGCUGGAGUGCGGCAGAGGGGGAUGGAAUUUCCGCGU